rnacentral:rRNA from 1 species
AAUAUUGGACAAGGGGUGCAAGCCUGAUCCAGCCAUGCCGCGUGCGUGAAGAAGGUCUUCGAAUUGUAAAGCACUAUAAUGUGGGAGGAAGGGCAGGUAACGAAUACUUAACUGUUUUGACGUUACCAAAAGAAUAAGCACCGGCCAACCUCUCGCAAGCAGCCGCGGUAAUCAGAAGGGUUCAAGCGUUAAUCGGAAUUACUGGGCGUAAAGCGCGCGUAGGUGGUUCGUUAAGUUGGAAGUGAAAGCCCCGGGCUCAACCUGGGAAUUGCUUUCAAAACUGGCGAGCUAGAGUACGGUAGAGGGUGGUGGAAUUUCCUGUGUAGCGGUGAAAUGCGUAGAUAUAGGAAGGAACAUCAGUGGCGAAGGCGACCACCUGGACUGAUACUGACACUGAGGUGCGAAAGCGUGGGGAGCAAACAGG